GGUAGUAGCUCACUGGUAGAGCGCCUGCUUAACAUGCCUGAUGUCCUGGGUUCAAUCCCCAGUACCUCCA
rnacentral:tRNA from 1 species